rnacentral:sRNA from 1 species
CUGACAUCCCUGGAAACUGAAGUUUUCUACCCAUGCAACUGGGUCAAACUUGUUCCCUCAGUCCUGACCUUGAGGGAGUACCUCUAGAAGUGAGAGCGUAGUUUGGUCUCCAUCACCAUUCAGGCCUUGGCCUCU